rnacentral:tRNA from 1 species
UCCCUGGUAGUCUAGUGGUUAGGAUUUGGCGCUCUCACCACCGCAGCCCGGGUUCGAUUCCCAGUCAGGGAA